AUGAAAAUAAUGAGUCUGAUGCAACAGAUCAAAACGUUAAACUUAAAAUGUUUAACUCAUUUCUUCAUAUUAUAAGCGCAGCAGGAAAACACCUUUGUUAAAUGCGCACCACACUUGCAAGCGGUUUUAUGUUGACAGGGAUGAAAAUAUCUGUUAAGACAUUUAGAAAGUGGGGAGAUCUAAUAUACAAAAACUAGCAUGGGUUGCUAUAUGACUAGGAUUGUGCCUUUGGCUACUGGACAAUGAAAGAAAGUUUAUAUAAAAUAAUUGCCUCCAUGGAUAUGGUCUGAUUUUGGCUAGGCUACUUUGAAACAAGGACCUGAGCCCUAGGACCAUGCCCCAGGACUACCUGACAUGAUGACUCCUUGCUGUCCCCAGUCCACCUGGCCAUGCUGCUGCUCCAGUUUCAACUGGCCUGGGCCCUAGGACCAUGUCCCAGGACUACCUGACAUGAGGACUCCUUGCUGUCCCCAGUCCACCUGGCCAUGCUCCUGCUCCAGUUUCAACUGUUCUGCCUUACUAUUAUUCAACCAUGCUGGUCAUUUAUGAACAUUUGAACAUCUUGGCCACGUUCUGUUAUAAUCUCCACCCGGCACAGCCAAAAGAGGACUGGCCACCCCACAUAUGCUCUCUCUAAUUCUCUCUUUCUUUCUCUCUCUCGGAGGACCUGAGCCCUAGGACAGUGCCCCAGGACUACCUGACAUGAUGGCUCCUUGCUGUCCCCAUUCCACCUGACUGCUGCUGCUCCAGUUUCAACUGUUCUGCCUUAUUAUUAUUCGACCAUGCUGGUCAUUUAUGAACAUUUGAACAUCUUGGUCAUGUUCUGUUAUAAUCUCUACCCGGCACAGCCAGAAGAGGACUGGCCACCCCACAUAGCCCGGUUCCUCUCUAGGUUUCUUCCUAGGUUUUGGCCUUUCUAGGGAGUUUUUCCUAGCCACCGUGCUUUUACACCUGCAUUGUUUGCUGUUUGGGGUUUUAGGCUGGGUUUCUGUACAGCACUUUGAGAUAUCAGCUGAUGUACGAAGGGCUAUAUAAAUAAAUUUGAUUUGAUUUGAUUUGAUUUAUGUGUAUGGACAUUUUCUGGGAUCAUUUCAUUUUAGCUCAUGAAACAUGGGACCAACACUUUACAUGUUGGGUUUAUAUUUUUGUUCAGUGUAUUUUAUGGAAAAGUGGUGCAUGUUUCUGAACAAUACAAUGCACCAUGCUGCCUUGCUGACAACAUGACCGAGUGGCACAGAAUACUCUUCGAUUUGAGAAGGGCACUCCAGGAGUCGCUCGCUCCUCCCUCACUGCUUUUGGCCGUUAUGCCACAGGCCAUAGACCGGUGCACCGCGGUUCAGUUUAAUCGAACUCACUCAGUAGGUGCAACUCGAUCUCGUUUGCAGCACAUAUGAUACCUGCAUGCAAUGGGUGGUGGCUGCAGAUAACACUGAUCUGGUUUCCCUUAAACAUCCACUAUCAGAGGAAGCUCUACGACUUCUUACAUGCAGGAUAAUGCAGUAGUUUGGGGGUGCAGGGGGAAAAAAAAUGCCUGCACUGAAGAGGUCUAUAUUUGUCUCCUAAUACAGGGCUAGUAAAGGCCCAUUGCACUACUUUUGUUAAUGCAUUUAAACUAAAACGUAUUUGAGUGUUUACCGGCAUUUGUAACUUCAGUCUAAUAAUUAUCUGUACAAAAGUUAAUCUGGUAAUACUUGUGGAAUUAAAAAAUACAUGCUUGA